rnacentral:lncRNA from 10 species
CUUCAGAAGAACCUGACUGUACAACUUGCACAUCUGAAGAGGUAGCCAAGAAAAUAGAGAAAAGAAUGGGAAGUGGAUCUACCCACAUCCUCUCCCAUCCCCUCCAGAAAGAAAUGCAGCAUCUCUUUCUCAUUGUUUAAGAAGAAAAGGGGGAUCUCGGAGACAAAGCCAAUGAAGAAUAAAUGAGUGCUCUGCCAGUUCAAAGUCAAUGUGAAGAUUGGAUGGGGAAGCGUGCGGAGCUCAGAAGCAUUUUUUUUUUCCAGAGCAAGAGAAAAUCCAGUGACUGAAAAAGAAUAAGAAGAAAAACACUGACCAAGGCAAUAAUUCCAAGAAGUCAAAAAUUAAGGCCUGAGAGGAAGAAGGCAGACUAAAGAAAGUAGGAAAGAUGCAAGGAGAAAGACAGCCAUCUGCAUACCAGGAAGAGGGCCCUCACCAGACACUGGAUCUGCUGCAUCCUUGAUCUUGGGCUUCCAACCUCUAGAACCAUUAUGGAGACCUUCUAUGUCCAGACUUAAUCAAUUUUCUGUACUUGUCCAUUCUGCUUCUGCUGGUGUUUUGCAGUAAGCCAGAGAUGAGAAAAUUGAUGCUCAGAGGUGUUGUGCAACUUAGAAAUGUACUGCAGCUAGGAAGCCACCUGCUGGUUUCUCAUUACAGCUAAGGUGCCAGAGCUAAGGAAUAACACAUGCCUGUAACAUGAGCACUUUGGGAGGCCAAGGCGGAUGGAUCACCUGAGGUCAGGAGUUCGAGACUAGCCUGGCCAACAUGGUGAAAUCCCGUCUCUACUAAACAUACAAAAAUUAGCUGGGCGUGGUGGCAGAUGCCUGUAAUCUCAGCUACUAGGAAGGCUGAGGCAGGAGAAUUGCUUGCACCUGGGAGGCAGAGGUUGCAGUGAGCCGAGAUGGUACCAUUGCACUCCAGCUGGGCGACAGAGCGAGACACCAUCUCAAAACAACAACAACAAAAAAAAACAAAAAGGGAUGGUCAGACCAGGAGAUGAAGACCCAAAGAGGUCCCUUUUCCUAUGAUGCUGUCAUAAUUUUCAUGCUCCUGAUUAUACCUGCCCAAUUAUUAGCAGACAUAUAGACAAUAGCAAAUCUCAAUUCACAGUCACAUGGUGGAAUUCCUUUGCUUAAUGCCGUAAAUUCAUCAAGAGAAAGGGAAUGGUUUUUGUUACAACUGUGAAUUAAAGGUAGGUGGUGACUAAUCAGUUAGCCAAUGCAUGUCCCUUGAGAUAAGAAAGUCAACUUCUUGUGAUAUUCAGGGUUCUCAGAUGUGAUCCCAAAACAUUAAUGCCAGAUACCUGCGCUCCUACCUGAGACAAACUCAUGGUUUCAGAGAGCAGAAGGUCAAAGCACUAAAAUGAAUGCAUUAGAAUUAAGCUGGCUUCCAUCACAAAGCUUCAUAUAAAUAUUACACCGGCUCUAUAAGACACUCAAUGUUUGGUUUCUGAACCUAUUAAUAUAUAAUGAGGAUACGAUGUAAUUAAUAUCGUUUGUUUUGAUUUUCUGUUAAAUCCGCUUUAGUAAUAAAGAAUGCAAGGUAAUUAUUCAAAAAGGCUUUUCAA